GUUUUAAUAAUUUAAUAAAAAUAUUGAUUUUGUAAAUCAAAAAUAAGAAAAUAUCUUUUAAAACU
rnacentral:tRNA from 1 species